CUGAGGCAGAUGAGAUUGGGAUCUCGGGCAGAAAGCAGAGAUUAUGAAGAACUAAUAAUGAAACAGUGCAGGGGCAAGGAGGGAGUGUUGGCGGUUUAGGAAAACAAGAGAGGCAGAGAGAACGAGCGAGGGAGAGAUAGUGGGAAAAGGGAACGGAAAUGUAACGUGAGAGACAGGAAAAGGGAUGCAUGGCUCUGAUUUGCGAGAUGAGAUGGAGGGAGUGGGAACGACGGAGGAGGAAAUUCCAAAGAGAUGUUUAAAAACCCCGCAAAUGAAGUCACCUGUGCAAAUACAACUCUUGUAUUUACUCCUAGUGUAUAAUAAUUGUGUGACAGCCCAAGGGUCAGGCCUCGGAUGGAAAGGCUCGCUGCCAGGAAAACAAACAUAUACACUACAGACAAGACCACGCGGAUGUCCUCAGAACCUCCCAAUGACGAUCGCAUGUGACAGCGACAGAGCAACACAAAGCAAGUCUACGCGAGUCGCAACACAACCCCCACAUAUCUCUUCCAUUCCGUGAAUUCAUCCAUACACGGUGAUGGCCUUGCUCAUGUGUGUGUUUGGGAUGAACACUCCUUCCGGAGGUCUCUGAAACGGGCUGGACUGUAUACAGAUGUCAAGUGACAGCACCUCCUCCCCUUGGAGGUUCUUCAUCAGGUAACACUAGAAGCUCAACAAACAGAUUUACUGUAUUUCACUGAAAUAUAAACGAAGCGCCUUGAGACAUUACCUUCACUGAGAGCGGAUAUUGAAAUGGUGAAUGAGAGAGACCUCAGGAUCGCCCUCUCUGCUGAAGACUGUAUACUCCAGCACAUUGGUUUAGAGAUGGCAAAACUGUCAACACAUUGAAAAUCUGAUAAGAGUUCGAGUCAACCUUGUCUGUCAGGCCAUGCAUGUUGACAGGAGCACAAAACCAGAAGUCCUUCACUGACUGGAGGGACUACACAUUUCAGUGCUUCUCAAAAGACAACCCGAACCAAUGGUAUAACUGCAUUUUUUAGAUACAACUGAACAGCAGAAUAAAAGAUGAAGGUGACUCAAACCCAUUCACUCAUGACCAAAUAACAAACCUUGAGACAUUCUCUUUUUAUCUUUAAUUGUACUGUUCAUAUGUCGUGUAAUUUUGCAUAUUUUUUUGGAUAUUUAAAAAAAAAAAAAAACAUUAAACUCAUUCAACUUGAUGAGUUGCCUAAUGUCAGGACAGAAUAGAUGGCUAGUGGGAGGAAGUUCAGGGCCUGCUUUUAAGGAUUCUCUAGGGAAAGAACAAGCAGUUGGAUAAAACACCAAGGUUGUUUUUAAAAGGCCUGGGUGCUGCUCUCGAAAUUAAUUUAAUCUUGAGAAGAAUUUGAAUGAACUGUAUUUGUUGGCAAGAGGGGGGGGAAAUACUACUAAAAAGCAAGAAAAUAAACAUCUCAGCUAUUCA